rnacentral:rRNA from 1 species
UGGGCAACCUGCCCUCAGCUCUGGGAUAACCCCGGGAAACCGGGGCUAAUACCGGAUACGACCUCCUCGGGCAUCCGUGGAGGUGGAAAGGUUUUUCCGGCUGAGGAUGGGCCCGCGGCCUAUCAGCUAGUUGGUGGGGUGACGGCCUACCAAGGCGACGACGGGUAGCCGGCCUGAGAGGGCGACCGGCCACACUGGGACUGAGACACGGCCCAGACUCCUACGGGAGGCA